GUUUGACCUCUUCGAUUUUUCCACCCGUUCUUCUCCAGGUUGAUGUGCUGAUGCACCGGUGCGCGGCGUAGAGCUACGUGUGUUGUAGUACGCGGCGAAGUGUGCUUCUAUCGCUGAUUGAGUGACGGGAGCGUAAGGUGCGUCGACCGACUCGAAUCGCGGCGGUGGUAGAAGUGGACGAGGGUCGGUCGUUGAGGUGGCAGAUGACAGCUAGUGUUCAUCUACCUGCAGUUUCCGUUAGGAUAGGGAAGGUGGGAAGGAGUUACAAACAUCUGUGUACCUGUCUGUCAGCUGUUUGUGUGUGUACCCACGAAGUUCCUUGACCCUAUGCCUAUGGCCCCAACA